UAAUCGGGGCAGGGUUAGUCGGCCCCUAAGGCGAGGCUGAAAAGCGUAGUCGAUGGGAAACAGGUUAAUAUUCCUGUACUUGUUUGUAGUGCGAUGGGGAGACGGAGAAGGCUAGGUCAGCGCGGCGUUGGUUGUCCGCGUUUAAGCUAGUAGGCAGAGAUCUUAGGCAAAUCCGGGAUCUUAAUGCCGAGAGGUGAUGACGGUGACUCUACGGAGUCCGAAGUGAUUGAUGCCAUGCUUCCAGGAAAAUCCUCUAAGCUUCAGCUACAAAGAAACCGUACUCUAAACCGACACAGGUGG
rnacentral:ncRNA from 2 species